AAUGAAAAUUAAGGUAGCAAAUUGACACUAAAAUGAAAGUUAAGAUAGCAAAUUGGCAAUUAUACCUAUUGACAUUGUCUUUCUCUUUGAAAUACCAUUCAUAGUUUCAUACUGGAUGCCUUGACAAAAACCAGGGACUUUGUUGUUGUAAGUGACGACAGUAAUUAAGUACGUAGUUGUUAGGUGCGAUAAAUAUUAUCAGAGUAACACAAAACCUAAAUAGUUGUGGUAUAAAACUUUGGUACGUAUAAUAUCGUAGGGUGUGCUCCAUUAAUAGAGAAGAAAGAGUAAGUCUCUGAUUAGGAUGUGUGUAUUCAUGGACUAAAAACAGAUGACUUGUUCUGCACACGUUUUUUUUGCCCUGGAGACGAAAUCCCGUUUUGCAGCCUAGCAACAUUCCAGCACGCCAAAAUCGACAUCAAUAAACUGAUAUAGUACUGGCCUGCAAGCCUGCAAGCAAUAUGCAAACAAAUCACUGGACUGGAAGAUAUAACUUGAGGUGCUUGAUUUGUUGCCAUUGGUGAUUAUGAGGAAGACGAUCCAGUAUUGUAUGUCUAUGGAAAACUGGUCCGAGAAUCCAUUAAAGCCUCUUGGUACUGCAACACCACCCAUAACACCUAAAAUGUUGGUUUAAAAGUCUUUAUAGAUUUGGUUGUUAACUUUAUCUCUUCUUCUAAGUCAAAUAGAACAUGAAAAAUAAAGGUGCAAUAAAUCAUAUUGAAAAGGCGAGUGUAUUUUGGUUUUUAAGUCUAGUCUAGGCUAGGUAGGGCUGGGCACGGGACGGGACGGGCCGGGAUUUGGUGAAUCCCGUCCCGUCCCGAAAAUAAAAGAACGGGACGGGACGGGACGGGAAGGUGUUUUUAAAAAUCUGUCCCGUACGUCCCGAUCCCGACUAAAUUUUUUUUUUUUUUUUUUUUUUUNNNNN
rnacentral:lncRNA from 1 species